rnacentral:rRNA from 1 species
AGUGAACGCUGGCGGUAGGCCUAACACAUGCAAGUCGAACGGCAGCACAGGAGAGCUUGCUCUCUGGGUGGCGAGUGGCGGACGGGUGAGGAAUACAUCGGAAUCUACUUUUUCGUGGGGGAUAACGUAGGGAAACUUACGCUAAUACCGCAUACGACCUACGGGUGAAAGCAGGGGAUCUUCGGACCUUGCGCGAUUGAAUGAGCCGAUGUCGGAUUAGCUAGUUGGCGGGGUAAAGGCCCACCAAGGCGACGAUCCGUAGCUGGUCUGAGAGGAUGAUCAGCCACACUGGAACUGAGACACGGUCCAGACUCCUACGGGAGGCAGCAGUGGGGAAUAUUGGACAAUGGGCGCAAGCCUGAUCCAGCCAUACCGCGUGGGUGAAGAAGGCCUUCGGGUUGUAAAGCCCUUUUGUUGGGAAAGAAAUCCAGCUGGCUAAUACCCGGUUGGGAUGACGGUACCCAAAGAAUAAGCACCGGCUAACUUCGUGCCAGCCGCCGCGGUAAGAC